rnacentral:lncRNA from 1 species
UGGUUUAAUCUCUCCUCAGCUGUAAAAUGGGGAUAAUCAUAGUACCUCCUGAUUUGUCCUCAUAAGUGGAUUUAAUGAUUCAAUGCCCAUAAAUCUCUUGGAAUAGUAAAUAUUUAAUAAACUAUUCAUUAUUGACUAUAUUUGUCAACUAGGAUUCCAACAGGAAACAGAUAACACAUACAAAUUAUCAUAACUCAAGGAGGACCUAUUUUCAAAAGGAUUAUUCACAAAAAUGUGUGUAGAGAGUGGGGAAAACAUGAAAGAAGACUCUGGGGCUAAAGGAGUGGGCUGUUACUACUUCUAGUCCUGAGGGAUGGUGCAUGGGAGGAAUUGCUGAAACAGAAUAGUUAUGUACAAAAGGAGUAUUGGAGAGAAGUGACCUUCCAUCAAGAGAUACCAUCAGUCUGAGGCAAGCUCUUAAGUAGAGGGAGCCAGGAGGAAAUGUGCCAUGACUUCAUUUUCCCUCUCCUUCUCUUGCCAAGAUUCCUCAUUUGCUAAAUCCAGCUAUUAGCCUGUGUGGAGCUAGCUGAUGUGGUCCAUGAGGUCCAGCCUCCUGACACUGAGAAUAGGGUGCCAAAGAAAGAAGAGCAGAUGCUGUAUGUAUCUGGCACGGGCUAUGUCCUAGGCCCUCUUUAAAAGAGAGGCAAAGAGCAGAUUACACAGUGCUGUAAUUCCCCACCAGACUUUCUGCCUCCUCAACGACUCUGGGUGGGGGGGCGGGGGGAGUAAAUACAUUAUUUCCUCUUCCUUGCAGAGUACCUCCACCAGUUUCCUUAUCCUAGGGGCAAGUGGAGCACAGGCUUUGGAGAUCCAGUCUCUAUCUCCACUGCAUUAUCCUAAUUUAUGAGACUCAUUUUGGGGGACUACUUUCCAUUUUGAGACCUGGGAUCAACAUGGACCCAACAUAGCAACUCUGUUCACUAAUAUUUGCUCCGAACUGCUACGAGAUGUAAAUGUUGGCAAACACUUUGAGAGGUAGCUUGUUUCUAAUCCACAUGUCAAACAAGUGAUUGUCUCAGGUUUAGUGUCCCAAAGAGCCUCCUAAAAUAAGACUGGAUUCAGAAAUCUGAUAGAUCCUAACUCUAAUAUGUGUUUUCUCCAGUUUACUUUGCAUUUUAAGUCUUG